CUUGGUUGUUAUACUGUACAUGGUCAAAAUGACACAAGGCAAUUUAGCACCGUGGCUGUACAAACCCAAGGUGCUGUUGUUCUGUCUUCAGGGCAACAGCAUAUGCAGCUUAAUUGAGGCUCAUUCAUUUAAUAAAUCAGCUUGAAGCUCAUGCUGCUGCUAUAGUUUCACUUGGAUGCAUAAAACUGGUCCAGAAGAGCAUUCAGUGUUCGCUUCUUAACAGAAUGAAACUCAAUGUUCACACAGUAUUAGUGAAACCUAGCCAAGUCUGAAAGCAACUCAGAGGCCACGUUGCUUGCCCCACACUUUUAGCUUAAUUUCUUCUUGUCACUUAUUUGUUUUUGUCCUUAAAGGAGGAUGUGACAACCGGAAAACAAUUAGCAUAUAAAGUGCAGAUGUAUUAAGGCAUAUAUGCGGUAAGCAUCCAAAAACAGCACUCAGGUAAGCACUUUACAGGUAUGUGAGAGUGACUCCAAAAAGCCACCUUUGAGAACUGAGAUGCCGGCUCAAAUAUAAGGGGAGGCUCUGCAACAGUGAAAAGAGAGAGAGAGACAAAGGUAAGUCUGAGGCAGGAUCAUUAAGGUAACAAGAACUAGAGUUUUACUAAGUGUGAGUGUGAGUGAGAUUUUCACACAAGUAGAUGGAACGAUGUGAUGGAGAACAAGAGGAUGAGCUGGUGCUUAAGAGCAGGAGCUGAGUGGAGAUUGGUUGCAGGUCUGUCAGUCGGCAGAGUGUGCGAACCAGAGGAUGGCCAUGCCACUAUUAAAAGCUUUACUAACAUAGAUAGAUGGAUGCUGUAAACAUAGACAAAUGCAGUUUUUCAGAGUCUCUCAGAUGUGAGAAAGGCUCAAGUGUGGCUGCUGCACACAAAGAAGUUGAAGCAGAGAAAUGCCACAGUGCACACUGAGUGACGUCAACCAGGAGGCCCCGUGGGGAUGAGGUGAGUCAGAGCCAGGGCCGCGGCCUCGCCAGCUCUCCGCAGCCAUGAGCGCGUCAUCACCAGUCUCACUGACACCCUCUCAC
rnacentral:lncRNA from 1 species